AUAAAGAAGCUUGCUUCUUUGAUGACGAGUGGCGGACGGGUGAGUAAUGCUUGGGAAUCUGGCUUAUGGAGGGGGAUAACUACGGGAAACUGUAGCUAAUACCGCGUAGAAUCGGGAGAUGAAAGUGUGGGACCUUCGGGCCACAUGCCAUAGGAUGAGCCCAAGUGGGAUUAGGUAGUUGGUGAGGUAAAGGCUCACCAAGCCGACGAUCUCUAGCUGGUCUGAGAGGUUGAACGGCCACAUUGGGACUGAGACACGGCCCAGACUCC
rnacentral:rRNA from 1 species